AUGUAAAAGGGGAUGAAGAUAUAGUCUGCGCCUCUAGAAAUAGAGGAAUAUCGUGACGAGAGGACCGAAAAGUACUGACCUCUGGUCUAUCUGCUGUCCUGCCAAGGGCACUGCAGAGUAGCUAUGUCGGGAACGGAUAACUUCUGAAAGCAUCUAAGAAGGAAGCCGACCCCAAGAUUAGGAAUCGUUUGAGACACCUCGGAGAUGACGAGGUUGAUAGGCUCUAGGUGUAAGCCCCGCGAGGGGUUAAGCCGAGGAGUACUAAUGAGUCGAUUGAUAUUCUAUU
rfam:Candidatus Lloydbacteria bacterium RIFCSPLOWO2_12_FTLL_51_9 rifcsplowo2_12_scaffold_39490, whole genome shotgun sequence.